rnacentral:rRNA from 1 species
GAACGCGAAGAACCUUACCAGGUCUUGACAUUGAUGGACAGAACCAGAGAUGGUUCCUCUUCUUCGGAAGCCAGAAAACAGGUGGUGCACGGUUGUCGUCAGCUCGUGUCGUGAGAUGUUGGGUUAAGUCCCGCAACGAGCGCAACCCCUAUCUUAUGUUGCCAGCACUUCGGGUGGGAACUCAUGAGAGACUGCCGCAGACAAUGCGGAGGAAGGCGGGGAUGACGUCAAAUCAUCAUGCCCCUUAUGACCUGGGCUACACACGUACUACAAUGGGAGUUAAUAGACGGAAGCGAGACCGCGAGGUGGAGCAAACCCGAGAAACACUCUCUCAGUUCGGAUCGUAGGCUGCAACUCGCCUACGUGAAGUCGGAAUCGCUAGUAAUCGCAGGUCAGCAUACUGCGGUGAAUACGUUCCCGGGUCUUGUACACACC